rnacentral:rRNA from 1 species
CGGAGGUGGCAAGCGUUGUUCGGAAUUACUGGGCGUAAAGGGCGCGUAGGCGGCAAGGCAAGUCAGGUGUGAAAGCCCCGGGCUUAACCCGGGAAUUGCAUCUGAAACUGCUGUGCUUGAGUUCUGGAGGGGGUAGUGGAAUUCCCAGUGUAGCGGUGAAAUGCGUAGAUAUUGGGAGGAACACCUGCGGCGAAGGCGGCUACCUGGACAGAAACUGACGCUGAGGCGCGAAAGCUAGGGGAGCGAACGGGAUUAGAUACCCCGGUAGUCCUAGCUGUAAACGAUGGGCACUUGGUGUUGGGGGUAUUGAGUCCCCCAGUGCCGGAGUUAACACGUUAAGUGCCCCACCUGGGGAGUACGGUCGCAAGACUG